AUGCCACGUGCUGAUGGUCCCUUUAAGGUGUUAGAGAAAAUAAAUGAUAAUGCAUAUAAACUUGAGCUGCCUGCAGAUUUUGGGGUUAGUCCCACUUUUAACAUUGCAGAUUUGAAGCCUUAUUUGGGUGAGGAAGAUGAACUUCCGUCGAGGACGACUUUAUUUCAAGAAGGGGAGGAUGAUGAGGACAUCAAUACAAUUGUUACACCCACAACCCCUGCUGCUAUAAAUACUGGACCAAUUACUAGAGCUCGUGCACGCCAACUAAAUUACCAGGUACUUUCGUUUCUUGGUAAUGAUUCUAAUGUUCAUGAGAAUAUGAUGCUGCCUAAAUUGGAUACAUUUGUUUUGCUUACAAAUGAAGGGCCCAGCUUGGAGAAGGAUGAACAUUGGAUU
rnacentral:rRNA from 1 species